rnacentral:rRNA from 1 species
UACGAAGGGGGCUAGCGUUGUUCGGAAUUACUGGGCGUAAAGCGCGUGUAGGCGGGUCUUUAAGUCAGGGGUGAAAUGCCAAGGCUCAACCUUGGAACUGCCUUUGAUACUGGAGACCUUGAGUCCGGGAGAGGUGAGUGGAAUUGCGAGUGUAGAGGUGAAAUUCGUAGAUAUGACAUAGAAUACCCAUUGCGAAGGCAGCUAACUACGCGAUAAUUGACGCUGAUGCACGAAAGCGUGGGGAUCAAACAGG